AGAACACCCUUUCCACAGGGACUCGGGUGUCGGAAGCGGAUCGCCCCCCUCCCCCCUCCUGCUUUAGGUAACAUCAGUGACCACGCCCCCUCGGACAGGCGCGACAUGUAGGAAGAAAAGAGGAGGACCAGCAUCAAGGACAUGGUACCCAGCAAGCUUUGCUGUUGACACAAAACAAGCCCGUCUGAGCUGAACUCAAGUGCUGCUCUCAGCUCACUGAAGUGUGCUUGAAAUCCUGUGAAAAAUGCUGUGUGGAUGAAAGGCUUUGCCAUCACAUCUGUGUCUACACCCACUCUGAACUUCAAAACAUUCCAGUUUUUAAAUUCCUUCCUUGUCAGUAUCUGGAGAGGACACAAACUGCCUUUCAUUCUCUGUGUCUUUGUAUCAACUCUGUACAAAACAUUUACACUGUAAAUUCUGGUUGUGUUGUAAAUUGUUACCAAAUGUUCUCUGUGUGAGCGUUAGCAGUUCUUAUUAGAAAGCCAAUCAAAUUGACCACAAAGAGUCGCAAAACGACCACAAAGAGUCACAAAAUAACCACAAAGAAUCACAAAACAACCACAAAGAGUCGCAAAACAACCACAAAGAGUCGCAAAAUGACCACAAAGAGUUACAAAACGACCACAUUCACAAAACAACCACAUAGAGUCGCAAAACAACCACAAAGAGUUACAAAACGAACACAUUCACAAAACAACCACAUAGAGUCGCAAAACAACCACAUAGUCGCAAAACAACCACAAGGAGUCGCAAAAUGACUACAAAGAGUUACAAAACGAACACAUUCACAAAACAACCACAUAGAGUUGCAAAACAACCACAAAGAGUCGCAAAAUGACCACAAAGAGUUACAAAACGACCACAUUCACAAAACAGCCACAAAGAGCUGAAAAAUGACCACAAAGAGUCGCAAAACAACCACAAAGAGUCACAAAACGACCACAGUCACAAAACAACCACAAUGAGUUGCAAAACGACCACAAAGAGUCGCAAAACAACCACAGUCACAA